AUGACUGGCAAUAAGGCUGGGAAGGACUCUGGAAAAAAACAAGACAAAGGCGGUUUCCCACUCGCAGACAGCUGGCCUGCAGUUCCCAGUGGGACAUAUUCAUCGACACCUGAGAUCUAGGACGACCAGUCAUGGGCAUGUGGGUGCAAAUGCCGCAGUGCAUAGCAUAGCCAUCCUGGAGUAACUCACCACAGAGCUACCUGAACUGGCAGCAAAGGCAUCAAAAGACUUCAAGGUAAAGCGUAUUACCCUUCGUCACUUGCAACUUGCUGUUUGUGGAGAUGAAGAAUUGGAUUCUGUCAUCGAGGCUACAGUUGCUGAUGGUGGUGUCAUUCCACACACUCACAGAUCUCUGAUGGGGAAGAAAGGACAACAGAAGGCU
rnacentral:lncRNA from 1 species